rnacentral:rRNA from 1 species
UACGAAGGGGGCUAGCGUUGCUCGGAAUUACUGGGCGUAAAGGGCGCGUAGGCGGAUAUUUAAGUUAGAGGUGAAAGCCCAGGGCUCAACCCUGGAAUAGCCUUUAAUACUGGAUAUCUUGAGUACGGGAGGAGGUGAGUGAACUCCGAGUGUAGAGGUGAAAUUCGUAGAUAUUCGGAAGAACACCAGUGGCGAAGGCGACUCACUGGCCCGUUAUUGACGCUGAGGCUCGAAAGCGUGGGGAGCAAACAGGG